AGUGAACGCUGGCGGUAGGCCUAACACAUGCAAGUCGAACGGCAGCACAGUAAGAGCUUGCUCUUACGGGUGGCGAGUGGCGGACGGGUGAGGAAUACAUCGGAAUCUACUUUUUCGUGGGGGAUAACGUAGGGAAACUUACGCUAAUACCGCAUACGACCUACGGGCGAAAGCAGGGGAUCUUCGGACCUUGCGCGAUUGAAUGAGCCGAUGUCGGAUUAGCUAGUUGGCGGGGUAAAGGCCCACCAAGGCGACGAUCCGUAGCUGGUCUGAGAGGAUGGUCGGCCGCACUGGAACUUAGACACGGUCCAGACUCCUACGGGAGGCAGCAGUGGGGAAUAGUGGACAAUGGGCGCAAGCCUGAUCCAGCCGUACCGCGUGGGUGAAGAAGGCGUUCGGGUUGUAAAGCCCUUUUGUGGGGAAAGAAAAGCAGCAGGUUAAUACCCCGCGGUUCUGACGGUACCCAAAGAAUAAGCACCGGCUAACUUCGUG
rnacentral:rRNA from 1 species